UACGGAGGGGGCAAGCGUUAUUCGGAAUUAUUGGGCGUAAAGGGCGCGUAGGCGGCUAGAUGUGUCAAAGGUGAAAUCCCUCGGCUCAACUGAGGAACUGCCUUUGAAACUGUCUGGCUUGAGGCCGGGAGAGGGUAGCGGAAUUCCCAGUGUAGCGGUGAAAUGCGUAGAUAUCGUGAGGAACACCAGAGGCGAAGGCGGCUACCUGGACAAUUGCUGACGCUCAGGCACGAAAGCGUGGGGAGCAAAAGGG
rnacentral:rRNA from 1 species